GACGAACGCUGGCGGCGUGCUUAACACAUGCAAGUCGAACGGAAAGGCCCUGCUUUUGUGGGGUACUCGAGUGGCGAACGGGUGAGUAACACGUGAGUAACCUGCCCUUGACUUUGGGAUAACUUCAGGAAACUGGGGCUAAUACCGGAUAGGAGCUCCUGCUGCAUGGUGGGGGUUGGAAAGUUUCGGCGGUUGGGUAUGGACUCGCGGCUUAUCAGCUUGUUGGUGGGGUAGUGGCUUACCAAGGCUUUGACGGGUAGCCGGCCUGAGAGGGUGACCGGCCACAUUGGGACUGAGAUACGGCCCAGACUCCUACGGGAGGCAGCAGUGGGGAAUAUUGCACAAUGGGCGGAAGCAUGAUGAAGCAACGCCGCGUGCGGGAUGACGGCCUUCGGGUUGUAAACAGCUUUCGCCUGUGACGAAGAGUGAGUGACGGUAAUGGGUAAAGAAGCACCGGCUAACUACGUG
rnacentral:rRNA from 1 species